CCCCUCGACCCUGAGGAUAUCACGGAAUACAUUCUUAAUGGUCUUGAUGAUGAUUAAAAACCAUUUAUUGACGCCGUUCAAGCUUGUGAUAUUCCCAUCUCCUUUGAUGAAUUAAAUGAAAAACUGAUCUGUCUCGAGC
rnacentral:snoRNA from 1 species